GUGGGCGUGCCAGAGUGGUUAAUGGGCAUGACUAGAAAUCAUGUGGGCUUUGCCCGUGUAGGUUUGAAUCCUGCCACUCACG
rnacentral:tRNA from 1 species